rnacentral:rRNA from 1 species
CUACGAAGGGGGCAAGCGUUGUUCGGAAUAACUGGGCGUAAAGCGCACGUAGGCGGAAUGUUAAGUUAGAGGUGAAAUCCCAGGGCUCAACCCUGGAACUGCCUUUAAUACUGGCAAUCUAGAGACCGAGAGAGGUGAGUGGAAUUCCGAGUGUAGAGGUGAAAUUCGUAGAUAUUCGGAGGAACACCAGUGGCGAAGGCGGCUCACUGGCUCGGUACUGACGCUGAGGUGCGAAAGCGUGGGGAGCAAACAGGAUUAGAAACCCUAGUAGUCC